GACGAACGCUGGCGGCGUGCUUAACACAUGCAAGUCGAACGGUAAGGCCCCUUCGGGGGUCCACGAGUGGCGAACGGGUGAGUAACACGUGAGCAACCUGCCCUUGACUCUGGAAUAACAGUUGGAAACAGCUGCUAAUACUGGAUAUUCAUCGUCUCCUUCCUGGGGGGUGGUGGAAAGCUCCGGCGGUCAGGGAUGGGCUCGCGGCCUAUCAGCUUGUUGGUGAGGUAAUGGCUCACCAAGGCUUCGACGGGUAGCCGGCCUGAGAGGGCGACCGGCCACACUGGGACUGAGAUACGGCCCAGACUCCUACGGGAGGCAGCAGUGGGGAAUAUUGCACAAUGGGCGCAAGCCUGGUGCAGCAACGCCGCGUGCGGGAUGACGGCCUUCGGGUUGUAAACCGCUUUCAGUAGGGACGAAGGGUGACUGACGGUACCUACAGAAGAAGGACCGGCUAACUACGUG
rnacentral:rRNA from 1 species